UGAUAUAGAAAUUCACCAUCUUUCUCUUGUUUUAAGCAAAUUUAUUGACAUGAAAAAUCAUCCACAAAGCUUUAAGUGUACAUAUAUUUUGCAGCUUCCCCUGUACUCAUUUAAAUAGAGUUAAACUGUGAAGUUCCAAUUUUCUAAGGACCAAGUUCCUCCCUAUUCUCCUUUAUCAUUCAUCUCCCUUCAGCUAACUAACCAAGUCAAAGGUAUCUAAUA
rnacentral:misc_RNA from 1 species